rnacentral:rRNA from 1 species
UCGAACGGACUUAAUUUGAAACCUAGUGAUGUAUGGAUUAGUGGCGGACGGGUGAGUAACGCGUGGAUAACCUGCCGUAUACAGGGGGAUAACACUUAGAAAUAGGUGCUAAUACCGCAUAAGCGCACGGUUCCGCAUGGAACAGUGUGAAAAACUCCGGUGGUAUACGAUGGAUCCGCGUCUGAUUAGCCAGUUGGCGGGGUAACGGCCCACCAAAGCGACGAUCAGUAGCCGGCCUGAGAGGGUGAACGGCCACAUUGGGACUGAGACACGGCCCAAACUCCUACGGGAGGCAGCAGUGGGGAAUAUUGCACAAUGGGGGAAACCCUGAUGCAGCGACGCCGCGUGAGUGAAGAAGUAUUUCGGUACGUAAAGCUCUAUCAGCAGGGAAGAAAAUGACGGUACCUGACUAAGAAGCCCCGGCUAACUACGUGCCAGCAGCCGCGGUAAUACGUAGGGGGCAAGCGUUAUCCGGAAUUACUGGGUGUAAAGGGAGCGUAGACGGUUAAGUAAGUCUGGAGUGAAAGGCCGGGGCCCAACCCCGGGACUGCUCUGGAAACUAUUCAACUUGAGUGCAGGAGAGGUAAGCGGAAUUCCUAGUGUAGCGGUGAAAUGCGUAGAUAUUAGGAGGAACACCAGUGGCGAAGGCGGCUUACUGGACUGUAACUGACGUUGAGGCUCGAAAGCGUGGGGAGCAAACAGGAUUAGAUACCCUGGUAGUCCACGCCGUAAACGAUGAUUACUAGGUGUCGGUGGGUAUGGACCCAUCGGUGCCGCAGCAAACGCAGUAAGUAAUCCACCUGA